rnacentral:lncRNA from 1 species
UUAAAUUAUUUAAAAUAAAAUUUGGUAAAAAAAUAUUGUUUGUAAACAGUAAAAAAAAGUUUACGAAAUAUAACUAAGGGCAAUUUUGGAAUAGACUAUAUUUUAUUGUCUAAAUUACUAAAUUUUAUAGCCAGAACCAAACAUAGUAAUGCUAUAAACACUACAAUCUAGUAUUACACUACUGUAUUAAACCAAACGCACUAAUGCACCAUCAGUAGUAAUCUUAUUUAGAAAUUCAAGAUACCUGGAUAUAUCGAAAUACUUUGUAAUAUAACAUAAACUCGAACUCGAACCAAACGCGCCAUAAGGGUAAUUUUAGAAUUGAUUACACUUUGUUGUCUGAAUUACUGAAUUUUAUAAAUUGAACCGAAUAUAGUAAUAUUAUAUACACUGUAAUCCAAUAUUACAUUACUAUAUUAAACCAAACGCGCUAAUGCAAUGUCAAUAGUAAUUUCAUUCAAAAAUCUAAAUAUCUGGAUAUGUCGAAAUAAUCUGUAAUAUUACAUAACACGAACCAAACGCGCCCUAUGAACUUUCCUUUUGGUUUAUCAUAAUUUUAUUUUAUUGCCAUGUG